GGGGUUGUGGUUCAGCGGUAGAGCACUUGCCUAGCACGCAGGAGGCCCUGGGUUCGAUCCUCAGCACCA
rnacentral:tRNA from 1 species